UACGAAGGGGGGCUAGCGUUGCUCGGAAUCACUGGGCGUAAAGCGCACGUAGGCGGACUCUUAAGUCGGUGGUGAAAUCCUGGAGCUCAACUCCAGAACUGCCUUCGAUACUGGGAGUCUCGAGUCCGAGAGAGGUGAGUGGAACUGCGAGUGUAGAGGUGAAAUUCGUAGAUAUCGCAAGAACACCAGUGGCGGAAGGCGGCUCACUGGCUCGGUACUGACGCUGAGGUGGCGAAAAGCGUGGGGAGCAAACAGG
rnacentral:rRNA from 1 species